GAUGAACGCUGGCGGUAUGCCUAACACAUGCAAGUCGAACGGAAUCUUCGGAUUUAGUGGCGGACGGGUGAGUAACGCGUGAGAAUCUGCCUUCAGGAUGGGGACAACAAUUGGAAACGAUUGCUAAUACCCGAUAUGACGAAAGUUGAAAGAUUUAUCGCCUGGAGAUGAGCUCGCGUCAGAUUAGCUAGAUGGUGUGGUAAAGGCGCACCAUGGCGACGAUCUGUAGCUGGUCUGAGAGGAUGAGCAGCCACACUGGGACUGAGACACGGCCCAGACUCCUACGGGAGGCAGCAGUGGGGAAUUUUCCGCAAUGGGCGCAAGCCUGACGGAGCAAUACCGCGUGAGGGAGGAAGGCUCUUGGGUCGUAAACCUCUUUUCUCAGGGAAGAACAAAAUGACGGUACCUGAGGAAUCAGCAUCGGCUAACUCCGUGCCAGCAGCCGCGGUAAUACGGAGGAUGCAAGCGUUAUCCGGAAUGAUUGGGCGUAAAGCGUCCGUAGGUGGUUAUGUAAGUCUGUGGUUAAAGCGUGGGGCUCAACCCCAUAACGGCCAUGGAAACUACAAGACUUGAGUGAAGUAGGGGUAGAGGGAAUUCCCAGUGUAGCGGUGAAAUGCGUAGAGAUUGGGAAGACACCGGUGGCGAAAGCGCUCUACUGGACUUAAACUGACACUGAGGGACGAAAGCUAGGGGAGCGAAAGGGAUUAGAUACCCCUGUAGUCCUAGCCGUAAACGAUGGAUACUAGGUGUUGCCCG
rnacentral:rRNA from 1 species